rnacentral:tRNA from 1 species
CAAAAUGUAGCUUAACGUAAAGCAUCUGACCUACACUCAGAAGACUCCUCCCUNAAGGACAUUUUGA